GUUGCUUCGGUCUCAGGGCCGGUUUUUAAAAUCAGCAGAGCUUCUUCGAUCAAGGCUGAUGGUGGUUUGUUCAGGGAAGUCGCAAAUUGAGAAAUUCUUAAAAGGGGCUACAGCUAUAAGAAGAAACCAAUCAGCAUCAUGGCUUCUUUUGAAACUGAAGAGACGGACGAAAAGGAGCGGUGAUACAGAAGAUGCAAGUCAAGGCAGGACCCAUUCUGCAUGUAUAGACCAUCACAUACCAAUAAACACACAGUGACACACAGUGACACACACACAAACACACACUGGUAUAUUGUGCAAUGGGGGAGGUGUCACCAAUACUAUAUAAAACGUUAUUGGGAGUCUCAUCUCAUCAUAUUUUCUCUCAUCACCUGUACAGCAGCUCUCCUUCCAGUCACCCAGCAGAACAGCGAUGGCAGCAGCAGCUUGGUCCAGGAGCAGAGGAGUGGCUGGUGUCAGAGCCACCACAGGCCUGUUCUCCAUCUUCACUCUGCUGUGUCUGGUUUGCCUCUCAAGUUCACUGACUCACAAAGACCGGCUGGUAAAUCCACUGAUGUUGAACCUCUCUGUAUCUAGAACAUGUUCACAUUCAUUUGAAAGUCCUCAGCCAUUGUGAGUCAUCACAAAAAACAAAUUACUGUUGAAAUGUUCUUAUAUAUUUAAUAAUUUGUAUCUGAAGUUGUGUGUGCUACAUUAGCUGCUGACCAGCUGCUGUGAUACUUACAUGUUAUCAAAUGGAAAUUCAUGUUGAUUCUCAUUCUGCAUUUGCAGGCAGAGUUAAAGGAAAAACGUCAGAAAGCACAAAAACAACUGGACGAGGUGAAGGUGAGUCAGUCACACAGUUCAUGUUGCUCACAUAAAUGACCUCAGAGUAAGUUUAGAUUGUUCUAAUACUGUGUGACGGCAGUGCAUGCAUUGUAUAUGUUCAUUUUUAUUUUUUCCAUUAGGCAAUAUAUGAGUCAAAAAUGGACACCGCUAAACAUUUCGCGGGGCUAUCUCUGAAUCUUAUGGAGUCCCUGGAGGCAUUCGCGAAGGCAAAUGAAGAAGCAUUUCCUGAUGACUCCCUACGUCUGCAGGAGUUUGUGCAGGGCGUCGAGGACUUGGUAGAGAGAAAUAAGAAUAAAGUAGAAAUAAACGAUGAGGAGAUGCGAGCACAAAUAGUGAAGAAUGAAAAGGAACUGGAAAGUUUUAGGAAAUUAAUCACAGUCCUUGAGGAGCAACACGCUGAACUGUAAAUCCCAUGUCAGUCAGAGCUCCUGUUAGGAUUCAUUAGUCUACCUGUCUGAUUAAUUGCCAGACUGCUGUGACAAAUUAUUAUGCAGCAUUAUUUACCUGCCUGAUUUAAAUCUAAAACACUGCGAUUUAACUAUGCACUAACAAGCUGUAUUAUUAAAAGAGUUGUACAUAUCCUGUUGAUAAAUGUGAUAGGUUGCAAGCAUUAAUCCUUUUUAUGAGGGGUUAAUACAUUGGAGAGAAAAGCCAGGGUAUGAGAAAGAACACAGCUGUUUUACUGAGGAGAGGCCAAGGUUAUAGACAAGUUUGUUUGGUCGUCCUUUUGGUGAGAAGAAGGAAGUCAGCAGAGAAAUUCACACAAGAAACCCAAACAAGUGCAGGAUGAGAAAAGUUAGAGGACAGGAGAGGGAGGUUUCCUCUCAACAGGGCAUUGUCUUCAUGGACUGAAGGAAUCGUGUUGCCAAGGGGACGGGACCAGCCCGUGCACCACCGAUGGGAGAGCUAAGUCUAAACCACGGCUCCACCCCACCUGUUUAACCAGUGAAAUGUUAUUCACCUUAUCUAUCUGCUUAACAAAUGAGAAAUUAUACAUUUUUUCUGCAACUGAAAUUAUAAGAAACAAUGAAAAGAGAUAUUGUGCAUCUUUCUCUGGGCGAUUGGUUGCAGAGUAACAGCAUGUUCCGCUGCCUGCUAUUUGACAAAAAGAGAAGGUCCUUGAUCGAUCAAGCUUUGCGUAAUGAUACAAUUCUAAAUAAAUGGUAAAUCUGUACGUCGUGGUUUGUCUUCUCUCUCAAAUUAAGUAAUACGCCUGACAUUUCCACCUCUGAUAAUGCAUCUUUAUUAUCUGUGAAGUUUCUCUUUUUCAUCCUUCGGCUUCAUUUGAGUGUUUUUUCUAUGAAGGGGCUUUGAACUCAUGUUUGACAUAAAGUAAGAAGUUAGAGAGAGACGCACUAAUGACAGGGAUGUAAGAGGUGUUGUACUACCUUUAUUGAACACAUUUACAAUUGUACUGAUGUGCAACCAUCAAAGCUGUGGUAUUGGCAACAAUGCUAAUGCAGGAAUAAAUAAUAUAAACACAUUUUACUCCUUUCAUUUCUAGUUCAAUAUAUUAAGAUGGAUUACUAAAGAGAAUAAUGUUUUUGUUUUCUUCUGCUGUUUAUUUAAUGGUUUUCUUGGAAUAACAGAAUUCACAAUACAAACUAUAAUCUUCUACAUUUCUACCUAUAUUACUUUAUUAAAAUCAGAGCUAUUGAAAACAUAUGCUGUAAAAUUAUGCUGCAUGAAAUUCAGCAUGUGUGGAAAACCCAAAUAAAUGUCCUGCAUGGGAACUGUUGCUG
ensembl:lncRNA